rnacentral:rRNA from 1 species
CCUACGGGAGGCAGCAGUGGGGAAUAUUGCGCAAUGGGCGAAAGCCUGACGCAGCGACGCCGCGUGAGGGAUGAAGGCCUUCUGAUCGUAAAGCUCUGUCAGCAGGGAAGAACGGUCACUGUGCUAAUCCCCCAUGCAUUGACGUUACCUGCAAAGGAAGCACCGGCUAACUCCGUGCCAGCAGCCGCGGUAAUACGGAGGGUGCGAGCGUUAAUCGGAAUUACUGGGCGUAAAGCGCUCGUAGGCGGUAUGUCAAGUCAAGGGUGAAAUCCCCGGGCUCAACGUGGGAACUGCCUUUGAAACUGGCAAACUGGAGUGUGGGAGAGGAUAGUGGAAUUCCAGGUGUAGGAGUGAAAUCCGUAGAGAUCUGGAGGAACACCAGUGGCGAAGGCGACUAACUGGAACAUAACUGACGCUGAGGAGCGAAAGCGUGGGUAGCAAACAGGAUUAGAUACCCUAGUAGUC